rnacentral:rRNA from 1 species
UACGUAGGGUGCAAGCGUUGUCCGGAAUUAUUGGGCGUAAAGAGCUCGUAGGCGGUGUGUCGCGUCGGCCGUGAAAACCUGCAGCUUAACUGUGGGCUUGCGGUCGAUACGGGCAUCACUGGAGUUCGGCAGGGGAGACUGGAAUUCCUGGUGUAGCGGUGAAAUGCGCAGAUAUCAGGAGGAACACCGGUGGCGAAGGCGGGUCUCUGGGCCGAUACUGACGCUGAGGAGCGAAAGCGUGGGAGCGAACAGG